rnacentral:rRNA from 1 species
CCCCACAAUGGGACUGAGACACGGGCCCAUACUCCUACGGGAGGCAGCAGCAGGGAAUAUUGCACAAUGGACGGAAGUCUGAUGCAGCGACGCCGCGUGAGUGAAGAAGGCCUUCGGGUUGUAAAACUCUUUUGAGGGGGAAGAGCGAGGACGGUACCCCUGGAAUAAGCGUCGGCUAACUACGUGCCAGCAGCCGCGGUAAGACGUAGGACGCGAGCGUUAUCCGGAUUUACUGGGCGUAAAGCGUCUGUAGGCGGAUGUGUAAGUUGGGCGUGAAAGCUCCGGGCUUAACCCGGAGAGGCCGUUCAAUACUGCAUAACUUGAGGGUGUCCGAGGGGAGCGGAAUUCCCGGUGUAGCGGUAAAAUGCGCAGAGAUCGGGAGGAACACCAGUGGCGGAGGCGGUUCCCUGGGGCACACCUGACGCUGAGAGACGAAAGCUAGGGGAGCGAACAGGAUUAGAGACCCUGGUAGUCCUAGCCCUAAACGAUGAAUGCUAGGUGUGGGAUCGAAUGGUUCCGUGCCGGAGCGAACGCGAUAAGCAUUCCGCCUGGGGAGUACGGCCGCAAGGUUAAAACUCAAACGAAUUGACGGGGCCCCGCACAAGCAGCGGAGCGUGUGGUUUAAUUCGAUGCUACACGAAGAACCUUACCUGGGUUUGACAUGUAGGUGGUAGUGAAUCGAAAGGUGAACGACCCUUCGGGGAGCCUACACAGGUGCUGCAUGGCUGUCGUUAGCUCGUGCCGUGAGGUGUCGGGUUAAGUCCCGUAACGAGCGCAACCCUUGCUCCUAGUUACAAGUGUCUAGGGGACUGCCGGCGGAAAGCCGGAGGAAGGUGGGGAUGACGUCAAGUCAGCAUGGCCCUUAUAUCCAGGGCUACACACACGCUACAAUGGUCGGUACAAAGGGCAGCGAAACCGCGAGGCGGAGCGAAUCCGAGAAAAGCCGAUCGUAGUUCGGAUAGCAGGCUGCAACCCGCCUGCUUGAAGCUGGAGUUGCUAGUAACCGCGCGUCAGCCAUAGCGCGGUGAUACGUUCCCGGGGCUUGUACACACCGCCCGUCACGUCAUGGGAGUCGGUAACGCACUGAAGCCAGUAGUCUAACUGGAAACAGGAGACGCUGUCGAGGGCGGGACUGGCAACUGGGACGAAGUCG